UACGUAGGGUCCGAGCGUUGUCCGGAGUUACUGGGCGUAAAGCGCGCGCAGGUGGUUCCCUAAGCCCGGCGUGAAAGCCCCCGGCUCAACCGGGGAGGGUCGUCGGGGACUGGAGAACUUGAGGGCGGCAGGGGCUGGUGGAAUCCCCGGUGUAGUGGUGAAAUGCGUAGAGAUCGGGGGGAACACCCGUGGCGAAGGCGGCCAGCUGGGCCGACCCUGACACUGAGGCGCGAAGGCGUGGGGAGCGAAC
rnacentral:rRNA from 2 species